AGAGUUUGAUCCUGGCUCAGGAUGAACGCUGGCGGCGUGCCUAACACAUGCAAGUCGAACGAUUAAACCGCCCUCGGGCGGACAUAGAGUGGCGAACGGGUGAGUAACACGUGACCAACCUGCCCCGCGCUCCGGGACAACCGCUGGAAACGGCGGCUAAUACCGGAUACUCCGGGAGGGCCCCAUGGCCCUGCCGGGAAAGCCGAGACGGCGCGGGAUGGGGUCGCGGCCCAUUAGGUAGACGGCGGGGUAACGGCCCACCGUGCCCGCGAUGGGUAGCCGGACUGAGAGGUCGACCGGCCACAUUGGGACUGAGAUACGGCCCAGACUCCUACGGGAGGCAGCAGUGGGGAAUUUUGCGCAAUGGGGGAAACCCUGACGCAGCAACGCCGCGUGCGGGACGAAGGCCCUCGGGUUGUAAACCGCUUUCAGCAGGGAAGAUCCAAGACGGUACCUGCAGAAGAAGCUCCGGCUAACUACGUG
rnacentral:rRNA from 1 species